CCAAACUUGGUCAUUUAGAGGAAGUAAAAGUCGUAACAAGGUUUCCGUAGGUGAACCUGCGGAAGGAUCAUUAAUGAAUUAAAUUCUGUCGAGUUGUUGCUGGUCUCUUUUAUUGAGACAAGUGCACACUUGACUCGAUUUAUUAACCACCUGUGCAUCUUUUGUAGACUUGGAAUAAUGCUCGAAUGUGUUUACUCACUCGGAUUGAAGGAUUGCUCUGGUUUAGAGCUUUCAGUCGAUUUUUCAAGUCUAUAUCUUCUAUAUACUCUAUUAAUGUAUGUCAGUGGGCUAUUGGAUAAAUUAAUACAACUUUCAACAACGGAUCUCUUGGCUCUCGCAUCGAUGAAGAACGCAGC
rnacentral:misc_RNA from 1 species